ensembl:lncRNA
CACACACGUCCCAGUGUGCCCGCGUGUCGGAGUCUGUGCACGCGCACAUGUGUGUCGGGCUCUGUUGUGCCUGCACAUGCGUGUCGGGCUCCAUGCACACAUGCGUGUCGGCGUCUGUGCGUGCGCACACGCCUGUCAGGGUCUGUGUGCCCACACAGGCACCUCAACGGCUGAACACACUAUGUAUGGGGGGGGUCUGUCGUCGCUCACAUACGUGUAGGGGUCUGUGCGCACAUGCGCGUCCGGCUCUGCUGCCGCUUGCGCGCUCCGGCAGCUCAAAGCGCGAGGCCCCGCCUGGGUCCGGGGUGCGCAUGCGCGCUGGCCUCCCUGGGCGGUGGGACCCAGCGUAUGACGUACUUGCGUGGGAGUACGAGGCUGACGCGCGGCCUUGUCCCCGUAACUGUGACACAGGUGCACGCGAGCGUCAUUGGGGGCGAUGGGGGGCGUGCUGGGUGCGUGUUUGCACCAGUGACGCAGCCGCUGCAUCGCCGCCAGUCCGCACAGGCCAGCAUCCUUCAGGAAAAGCACCCCCGAGGAGGAAGAGCAAUCGUUAAACAUCUUAAAGGGUCAGGUGAGUAUCCCUUUUUUUUUUUUUAAAUUAAAUGAUAUGUGUUUGUAAGACUUAAGACCAAACAUUAAAUGUAGAUGACCAAGAUUUGAGUCCUGUUUCUGCCUGUUAGCUUUUUGAGCCUUCUGAAGAUAGGCUUGUGAGGAGGGUGAAAUGCAUUAACAUGUGUAAAACCAUAGACCCGCACCCCGGAGUGUGAGUGCGCAGUGAGUGCUGCUGUUAUGUGCUGAGUCUGGAUGUCGGUACAUCAGGAGCAAUGUAUAUAUGAAGGUAACUGAGAUGGGUGUUUGCAAGUUCACAAAAUGAACCACAGCCUCAAAUGGUCUAGAACUGUUAUCCUUAACCUGAGGGCCUUCCAUAAAGUGAACCAAUUUUGUAAAAUACAAAAAUUAGCUGGAUCUGGUGGUGCAUGCCUGUAAUCCCAGCUCCUCAGGAGGCUGAGGCAGGAGAAUCACUUCAACCUGGGAGGCUGUGAACCUGUGAUGAGCUGAGAUCACGCCACCACACUCCAGCCUGGGUGACAGAGCAAGACAUUGUCUCCAAAAAAAGCUUUGUGACUAAAUGUGUGGGGAGAAGCAAGCUGUUGUAGUGGACAUCAGUUGGUGUCCUGCAGUUCAAUUCUGACACCGUCUACCUGGAUAUGGCAUCAGAUUCCACAGGUUGUGAGCAAGACUGUCCCACUCUGCCCCACUAGCCACAAGACCAGGCCUCUGGGACAUCUUGCUAACCCUCCGCAGGUUGGGGUUCUUUUUUUUUUUUUUUUUUUUUUUGUUGUUGUUGUUGUUGUUGUUGAGACGGAGUCUCGCUCUGUCGCCCAGGCUGGAGUGCAGUGGCCGGAUCUCAGCUCACUGCAAGCUCCGCCUCCCGGGUUCACGCCAUUCUCCUGCCUCAGCCUCCCAAGUAGCUGGGACUACAGGCGCCCGCCACCUCGCCCGGCUAGUUUUUUGUAUUUUUAGUAGAGACCGGGUUUCACUGUGUUAGCCAGG